rnacentral:hammerhead_ribozyme from 1 species
AUCCAUCAGACGAGUCCCAGAUAGGACGAAACGCGCUUCGUGGAU